rnacentral:rRNA from 1 species
AUGGUCCGACGUCCACCGGCCCACCUCAUCUCCCCCCGGCCUGCCCGCGAGCAAGCCCACGCGCCACCGCCAGAGCGCCGUAUAGGCCACCCGAGCCACUCCACCACGCGCCGGAGCAGGCCACCGGGCCGCAGAUCCUCGCUGCCCAGGCCACCUGCGCACAGACCACCCGCGCCGCCCACAGCCGCCAAUCACUCGAUCCGCAGCCACCGGCACCGAGGGCACGCCCCAUCUCAGCGCAGCCAGCCACGCCACCAGAGGUCUCCAAGCAGCACCGCCGGAGGGCUCUCCGUCGCGCCACCGCGACCCGCGAGCACGCGGCGCCCCGGACCAGCGGGAAGCGACCCCGGCCCGCGCCAGGACCCUGCACUCGAGGGGCGAGAAGACCCGCCGCUGCCGACGACGGUAGGGCAACCUGUGGCGGCGGCGGGGGAGGAGGGAGGGCUCGGAGGGGACUUGGGGCGGCGACGGCUAGGUUCCUCCCCGUCGCCCACGGAAGCAACGCGGGAGGAAAGGAAAGGGGAUCUAGUGGUAAAGUUAGGUUGCUUCAUACGAGUCCUCUUUCGUGGAUCAGGAUUUACUCAAGCUCAGGAGGUGUUUUUCUUUUAG